ACGGGUGAGUAACGCGUGGGAACAUACCCUUUCCUGCGGAAUAGCUCCGGGAAACUGGAAUUAAUACCGCAUACGCCCUACGGGGGAAAGAUUUAUCGGGGAAGGAUUGGCCCGCGUUGGAUUAGCUAGUUGGUGGGGUAAAGGCCUACCAAGGCGACGAUCCAUAGCUGGUCUGAGAGGAUGAUCAGCCACAUUGGGACUGAGACACGGCCCAAACUCCUACGGGAGGCAGCAGUGGGGAAUAUUGGACAAUGGGCGCAAGCCUGAUCCAGCCAUGCCGCGUGAGUGAUGAAGGCCUUAGGGUUGUAAAGCUCUUUCACCGAUGAAGAUAAUGACGGUAGUCGGAGAAGAAGCCCCGGCUAACUUCGUGCCAGCAGCCGCGGUAAUACGAAGGGGGCUAGCGUUGUUCGGAAUUACUGGGCGUAAAGCGCACGUAGGCGGAUAUUUAAGUCAGGGGUGAAUCCCGCAGCUCAACUGCGGAACUGCCUUUGAUACAGGGUAUCUUGAGUAUGGAAGAGGUAAGUGGAAUUCCGAGU
rnacentral:rRNA from 1 species